rnacentral:rRNA from 1 species
AUUGAACGCUGGCGGCAUGCCUUACACAUGCAAGUCGAACGGUAACAGGUCUUCGGAUGCUGACGAGUGGCGAACGGGUGAGUAAUACAUCGGAACGUGCCCGAGAGUGGGGGAUAACGAGGCGAAAGCUUUGCUAAUACCGCAUACGAUCUCAGGAUGAAAGCAGGGGACCGCAAGGCCUUGCGCUCACGGAGCGGCCGGUGGCAGAUUAGGUAGUUGGUGGGAUAAAAGCUUACCAAGCCGACGAUCUGUAGCUGGUCUGAGAGGACGACCAGCCACACUGGGACUGAGACACGGCCCAGACUCCUACGGGAGGAAGCAGUGGGGAAUUUUGGACAAUGGGCGCAAGCCUGAUCCAGCCAUGCCGCGUGCAGGAUGAAGGCCUUCGGGUUGUAAACUGCUUUUGUACGGAACGAAAAGACUCUGGUUAAUACCUGGGGUCCAUGACGGUACCGUAAGAAUAAGCACCGGCUAACUACGUGCCAGCAGCCGCCGUAACAC